UACGGAAGGCAGCAGUGGGGAAUAUUGCACAAUGGGCGCAAGCCUGAUGCAGCCAUGCCGCGUGUAUGAAGAAGGCCUUCGGGUUGUAAAGUACUUUCAGUCGUGAGGAAGGUGUUAAGGUUAAUAACCUUAGCAAUUGACGUUAGCGACAGAAGAAGCACCGGCUAACUCCGUGCCAGCAGCCGCGGUAAUACGGAGGGUGCGAGCGUUAAUCGGAAUUACUGGGCGUAAAGGGCACGCAGGCGGUUAACUAAGUUGGAUGUGAAAUCCCCGGGCUUAACCUGGGAAUGGCAUUCAAGCUGGUUAGCUAGAGUCUUGUAGAGGGGGUAGAAUUCCAUGUGUAGCGGUGAAAUGCGUAGAGAUGUGGAGGAAUACCGGUGGCGAAGGCGGCCCCUGGGACAAAGGACUGACGCUCAUGUGCGAAAGCGUGGGGAGCGAAAC
rnacentral:rRNA from 1 species